rnacentral:rRNA from 1 species
GAGUUUGAUCCUGGCUCAGGAUGAACGCUAGCGGCAGGCCUAACACAUGCAAGUCGAGGGGCAGCACAAAGAUAGUUUACUAUUUUGGUGGCGACCGGCGCACGGGUGAGUAACGCGUAUGCAACCUACCUUAUACAGGAGUAUAGCCCGAAGAAAUUCGGAUUAAUCCUCCAUAGUAUUUUCUAAUGGCAUCAUUUGGAAAAUUAAAGCUUCGGCGGUAUAAGAUGGGCAUGCGUCCUAUUAGCUAGAUGGUAAGGUAACGGCUUACCAUGGCAACGAUAGGUAGGGGGCCUGAGAGGGUGAUCCCCCACACUGGUACUGAGACACGGACCAGACUCCUACGGGAGGCAGCAGUGAGGAAUAUUGGGCAAUGGAGGCAACUCUGACCCAGCCAUGCCGCGUGCAGGAAGAAUGCCCUAUGGGUUGUAAACUGCUUUUAUUUAGGAAUAAACCCUUCUACGUGUAGAAGGCUGAAUGUACUAAACGAAUAAGCACCGGCUAACUCCGUGCCAGCAGCCGCGGUAAUACGGAGGGUGCAAGCGUUAUCCGGAAUCAUUGGGUUUAAAGGGUCCGCAGGCGGACGUAUAAGUCAGUGGUGAAAUCCUGCAGCUUAACUGCAGAACUGCCAUUGAUACUGUACGUCUUGAAUUCGGUCGAAGUGGGCGGAAUGUGUAGUGUAGCGGUGAAAUGCAUAGAUAUUACACAGAACACCGAUAGCGAAGGCAGCUCACUAGGCCUGGAUUGACGCUCAGGGACGAAAGCGUGGGGAUCAAACAGGAUUAGAUACCCUGGUAGUCCACGCUGUAAACGAUGAUUACUCGUUUUCGGCGAUAUACAGUCGGAGACUAAGCGAAAGUGAUAAGUAAUCCACCUGGGGAGUACGAUCGCAAGGUUGAAACUCAAAGGAAUUGACGG